ACUAACUUAGUUACUAACCUAGGUAUUAAACUUAAUUAAUUAAUAAUUAAUUAAUUAUUUAACUAGUCAUUUAUUAAUUAAUUUAACCUAUACUAACUAUAUCAAUACUUAUUAUUAUUUUAAUCUAACUAACCUAUUGUUCUUUUUGUUCAUCCUAAGUCCAUUUAUGCAGGGAUGGAAGGCCGGAAAAGUAGUCGAUGGGGCAACAUGACAAGGGAGUGAGGGCGCAGUGUGGAUGAAGGAUGCAAUAGGGUGAUAGGGGAUUGAGCAACAAGAAAGGAGGGAGGAAGCGGAAUCACCUGAGCCAUACUUCGUCAUCACGAGAGAGAUGCCAAAUCACAGUCAAAGAAUCGAUUCGCCUAUAAUUAUAGGACCCCAACACUCUGAAUGUUAAAGUGAAUAAAUUCAACCAAUCAUGGGUAAACUAUGGGAGUAAAUAUGACUCUCUUAAGGUAUCAACAUUCCUCUCCAUCUAAUUAGUGAUGCACAUGAAUGGAUUAACUAGAUUCCCACUAUCCCUAUCUACUAUCUAGCAAAACCACAACCAAGGGAAUGGGCUUGGCAUAAUCAACGGGGAAAGAAGACCUUGUUGAUGUAAAUGUGU
rnacentral:ncRNA from 1 species